ensembl:scaRNA
AUGGUCCAGGGAAAGGAUCCUAUGCUCCUGAACCUGCGGGUUGUGGGUGCAGCCUUGGACCAGGCAGCCCAACCCUGACCUAAGUACAUUUUCUCCUGGGGUUUGAGUUUGCAAUCACAGGUGUGAACAUUUUAGCCGCAGUUUAACCAUCACCUGUGAUACUGCAAAUAGGA